GACUAUUUUAUAUUUGGUUUUUAGAUGUUAAAUACAUGGAAAAGCACAUAGUCAGUGCAGUAGUGCACAAAUGACAUGUCAAUUGUUAACUGUGACUAACUGUUAAUUGUAAGACAAAACCUUAAUAUUGUCUAUCACAUCAUUCACCACAUGUUCUACAUAGGGUCCUGUCAAUUGUUACACAACAUGUGGAUUGUGGAACGAUUAGAAACUUCCUUGAACUAGCAGCAACUUAUAGAGACUACCAACUGGCAUUCAAAUUGA
rnacentral:lncRNA from 1 species